rnacentral:rRNA from 1 species
CUACUCGACUCCUACGGGAGGCAGCAGUGGGGAAUAUUGCACAAUGGGGGAAACCCUGAUGCAGCCAUGCCGCGUGUGUGAAGAAGGCCUUCGGGUUGUAAAGCACUUUCAGUCGUGAGGAAGGUAGUGUAGUUAAUAGCUGCAUUAUUUGACGUUAGCGACAGAAGAAGCACCGGCUAACUCCGUGCCAGCAGCCGCGGUAAUACGGAGGGUGCGAGCGUUAAUCGGAAUUACUGGGCGUAAAGCGCAUGCAGGUGGUUUGUUAAGUCAGAUGUGAAAGCCCCGGGGCUCAACCUCGGAAUUGCAUUUGAAACUGGCAGACUAGAGUACUGUAGAGGGGGUAGAAUUUCAGGUGUAGCGGUGAAAUGCGUAGAGAUCUGAAGGAAUACCGGUGGCGAAGGCGGCCCCCUGGACAGAUACUGACACUCAGAUGCGAAAGCGUGGGGAGCAAACAGGAUUAGAUACCCUGGUAG